GAUGAAGAACGCAGCGAAAUGCGAUAAGUAAUGUGAAUUGCAGAAUUCAGUGAAUCAUCGAAUCUUUGAACGCACCUUGCGCCCCUUGGUUAUUCCAAAGGGCAUGCCUGUUUGAGUAUCAUGAACACCUCAACUCUUGUGGUUUCCCACAAUGAGCUUGGACUGUGGAGGUUUUGUUGGCCCUGUGGUCAGCUCCUCUCAAAUGGAUCAGCUUACCGGUGUUUGGUGGCAUUACGGGUGUGAUAACUAUCUACUCUCGUGGUCGUCUCCAAAUAACCUCCAGUGAUGGAGGUUCGCUGGAGCUUAUAAAUGUCUCUCCCCAGUGAAGACAGCCUUUGAACGUUCGAUCUCAAAUCAGGUAGGACUACCCGCUGAACUUAAGCAUAUCAAUAAGCGGAGGA
rnacentral:misc_RNA from 1 species